GAGAACAGGGAGAGAGACCGAAUAAGAGAUUAAGUUGAGGAGGGAGGGAGGGAUGGAGAGGCCCCUUGUGAGAAAGAAAUAUGAGAAAAGGCGAGAAUGAUAAUGCCUAAAUACAGAAAUACGGAGUGUGUGUGUGCAUGUGUGUGUGUCAGAGAAAGAAUAACAGGGUAAUAAGGAUGAAAUGUUUUUCUGCACCUCCGAGUCUCAGUUGGCUGUUCCUCCCUCCUGACGUCUGACAGUUCCCCUAAACUGGAUUCUGGAGGCGACUGGAGGCCCAGCUCACGUACUAAAACUACACGAUCAGCAGCGUCUGAAGACUCCGCUUUCUAUCAAUGCAAUAACUGGACGCGCUGCGUGAAGGUCAGACUGCCUGAGCUCCGUUCAGCUGCACCUGAGACGAAUGAGGAGCUCCGCCCUCGUUUCCUGACUGUGCGACUACACAAACACCGCGACGCCUGAAAUCACGGCUCCUGUGCAAAACGGCACAGGCCAAACGCAGCCCCACAAUGCUGCUCCCGCGGCGCAUUCACGGCGUAUUCAGAUAUUUUGACCCCCAACGAGCGGCGUCUGAUAGGAUACAGCAGUAAGUGCUUGUAGCUGCCGCUGCAGCGUGUGUGUGUGUGCGACUCGUACACAGCUACUCCAACGCUCUGACAGAUGGAGAGAUGGAAAUGGAAGAGAAUGAGAUUGAUUGUGUACCACUCACAGCUCUCCACAUGAAGAGGCCCAGAGCGUUUGUGUCAAGCACCCGACUCGUCCCGCGUUUGAUCACGGCGCUUUCUUUUUUCAAGGCUGCGUCCUCGUCCUCCACGCGACGCGCGCCCUUUGUCGAUGGCUGGUUCUGACCAGCUUUAAGCAGCGCGAGAGCCCCUUUUUAACGAGGGACCACUUUCACCGGCAGGUGUUUCUACGUGGAUCUGUCCCUGACGUUUGAAGGACAGACGCAGCGCCCGCAUCCACUGAAAAGUCUGGUUCAGGUUUGGGGCCUUUGUUUGAAUCCGAUGCUGCAUCGCUCCCGUGGCGACGGUCUCUGAGCCGGUGGCUGCUGCACCGCGUCUGCAGGCGCUCCGAUUACCUGAGUUCGCAGGCCGUCGGGUGGUAACGUGGCCGAGCCAAGGAGGUCCGGGGGGAUCUGGGUCUCACGUCCCUGAGCCCAGCUGCAGAAGCACCGCCUGUACCUGGUCACUGGACCGCUUUUAAUACACUGACUUUUAUUCCAGCUUCAAAUUCAAGGGUUUAAAAACUUUGACAGUUUGAAUGGACACAGACUGAAAUGACAGCAACAAAGCAGCGUGAAGUGGCUGUUGAUGAACAGUGACUGCAAAACUUUUCUCAGCCAACAGCCUCAUUAACCUCCUGACCCGUCACGCACCAGUUGCUCAGCUGAGUCAGAAAUUAAUGGACUUGUUCUGGCUGCUUGUUUGCAGUGUUAACAUGAGGUUAGGAAGCAAAUCGGGGAAGGAUUUUUAUCGGCGUGUCACAGAAUUGUAAUUAUGUCGUCCUACAGGACGAGAGCUGUGGAGUUCAGACAGACGGGAGCAGGUCUCAUCAGCCGCUGCAACCGUCAAUGGGCUCCGUUAUAACAAAGGCCUCGUUGUCCUUUGUAGUCACUGUUUAUUUCAUUUAUAAAAUCCUUUCAAUCUCUUCAUUUAAAUGUAUUGAUCAAAUGAAGGUGAUUAUUGUUGAACGACCACUGUUGCUCUAAUUCACCUGCAUCUGUAACAAGUGUUGCCAUUAACCAGACGCCGGUUCAUCAUAAAUGACCUGGUUACUUAUCCUUCGAGUGGUUCUUGAGCUGCUCCACUCACUCGUGACCGGCGGUGACUUUCUAGAAGCCGCGUGCGUCGGGUCCCGGCGCCGCUGCCGCGGGUUAAUGGUCGACCAGGAGCCGCUGACGGACUGGGAACCAGUGCUGUCCACAGCUCCACUGACAUGUGGGACCUCUCCCCACAGAAAACCCCACAAAAUGUGAUCAGUAAACAGAGAUGCAGACUUAAACAGAGGCCUUCAUCAUCUAAUUGUCAUCUAAUUUCCUAAUGGGAACCAUUCAUUUCAGUUGUGAUAACAGCUGUGUUCAACAGAGUGGUUUGUUUCACUUUCCUCCACUGAUGUAAUAUUAGUCCCACUUUAGGGGGAGUUGUGUAGCUGCAGUGGGUUUCUGGCAGAAGGUACACGACUCUAAUUGCCUUAAACCUGUUUCUCCCUUCAACCAGUCAAUAUGCCUGCAGUGUGUGUAUGUGUGUGUGUUCCGGUGGUCAAUAAAGCGUGUGCUAAGAGGCAAUUGGUUGUUUUUCCCCAACUUGACACGUUAACUGCAGUCACACUUGAGCUAAACACACACACACACACACACACGCCAGCAGCCUGUUGGUAAACGCUAUUGAUUCUGUCCUGUUUUCAACUUAUUUCCUCUCAUAACCCCUCGUGGCUCAAUCGUGCUCACAGCCGAACAUGGAGUGUCUCUUAAAUCUUAGCAACAUGCAAACACAAACAUGUGUUCACAGGUGCAAACGCACCCGCGGAGGAAGUGCUGCUGUAAAUGCCAUUUGUUAAUCCAAAUGAAAAGCGGAUGAUGUUCACUGAUGUACGAUUUACCUUUGAAGCCGCUCCUCCAGAGUCGGCGCGUGGUCUCCUGCUUCCUGUUGAUCGGGUUUAAUUGGCUUCAUUUGCAGCAGCAGAGUUGACGUUUGUGUGGUGACGCCUGAGCGUCCUACAGCAUGCGCUCGCUACGGAGCGCGCUCAGUGCAGACGUUCAGCGUCUGACUCAACAUUCACUACGAAGAGUUUUACAAAUUGUGCUGCAGGAUUUUGGUGGAGAAAAAACCUUAAACAUUUCACUUAUAGAAAAGAAUCUGUACUGUAAAUGCAUGUACUGUAGUCAAAGCAACUGGAAUAAAUGUAAAUAUGCCUUAAUAUUGGGAUGAUUUACGUC